CAACUUUUCCCUGUUCAGUAUUAUGUUGGCUGUGUGUUUGCCAUAGAUGGCUUUUAUUACAUUGAGGUAUGUCCUUUGUAUGCCGAUUUUGCUGAGAGUUUUAAUCAUGAAGGGAUGCUGGCUUUUGUCAGAUGCUUUUUCUGCAUCUAUUGAGAUAAUCAUGUGAUUUUUGUUUUUAAUUCUGUUUAUGGGGUGUAUCGCAUUUAUUGACUUGUGUAUGUUUAACCAUCCCUGCAUCCCCU
rnacentral:lncRNA from 1 species